AGUGGUUUAAGUGUUUGGCUACUAACCAAAAGGUUGGAGGUUUGAAUCCACUAGCCACUC
rfam:Loxodonta africana unplaced genomic scaffold scaffold_84, whole genome shotgun sequence.